GACAGCGUGGCAUAGUGGUCUGAGCAUUGGACUUUGAUUCUGGAGAACAGGGUUCGAAUUCCCGCUCAGCUG